AAUGGUUCGGAUAAUUGAGGUUAUUAAUGGUUCAGUUUGGUUAGUGAAUUGUUAUCAAAAUAAUGGUUCGGUUCGAGA
rnacentral:pre_miRNA from 1 species